GAUUUAUUCGCGGUUUUACUGGAAUUAUGUAAAAAAGGGUGCUCUCCUGGCUGGAGAUUCGAUGAGCAAGUCACCCACUCUCAGCAUCAGGAGGUCGUGACGAAAAAUAACGGGACCGUUAAUGUCUUGGAGGCCGGCUAUCGGAAUAGAUGCAAUUUAAACCCAUUAACGAGGAUCUAUGAGAGAGAAAGUCCCAUGCCAGCAGCCGCGGUAAUUCCAGCUCUCAAAUC
rnacentral:ncRNA from 1 species